AUGGCUGCUCUGAGCCUUGCACCCUGGUGCGGGAUGGGAAGAACAGCUUUCACAACUUGGACGUGUUGUCACUCGCAUCCAGACGUUUCCUUUUCCUGUUAUCUAACCUCAGCCUUAUCUUCCCCAUUCGCAGCUUCCUCUCAAAGGAGGAGCGGCCCCUUCAAAAACGAGCUGUGUGCUUGGGCUGUGCCCCCACCACUGGGGCCAGCCCCACGCUGGUGCCCCUGCCCUGGUGGGGCCCAGCUAGCUCAGCACGGCUGUCAGAUGAGUGGUCACCCGCGCACCUCCUUCCCUCCCCUUCACAGCUGAAGGCAGAGUCCUGUGAGCACCGCGGAGGAGCCAGAGCAGGGGCUGGAGAUCAAAGGUGAGUACGGGGGGAUGCGGGAGGGCACACAGACAGCAAUGCCAGGUAACAGGUUUAUCAGGCCCUUCUCGGUGCUUUUGCACAAGCUGUGAGGUGCUGGUUGCAGUGUUUCUGGUUCCUGCCCUUGCAAGCUGUUCCUGCAGCCGUAAGUGAAACCUACAAUGUCCUCACCCAAGUGUUUGAAUGGUGCUUUGUGCUUGUGACUCUCUGCGCCCUGAGCUGUGGGGCAGACAGGAGCGGGGGCCAGUGCAUCCUGUUUUUCUGUCCCUUACAGCAAUCCCAGGCCUGAGGUCUGGAUCAGGGUUGCUUUUGAAUGUCCCAGACCUCAGCUGUGUGCCUGCCAGGGGUGUACCUGCUCCUGAAGAGGGGGGAUAGCAGGGUUGGCCCAUCUACCUCGCUGUCCCACUGGACAGGUUUUACCACGAGUACAGUGCUGAUCUGACAGGAGAGGCGGGUUUGAUCUUGGGUGCUGCAGGAAAGCCUGUCCAGGACCUGGGCCUGGCGCUGAACUGCUGCAGUAGGGGUGCAGCUCUGCAAAGCCCUGCUGAGGAAGGCUCCAAGUGUGUGGUGAGGGCACCAACGCAGCACCGACGUGCUGUGCUGGGCAGAGGGGCGGGCGGCACUGCUGUCUCCUGUGUGACAGUGCCUGCCAGCGCAGUGCUGCGUGCGGACAGAUGGACAGUGAUACCAGGAGAGCCUCCAUGGCAAAAACAGAGGGAAGGUAUGGGAAGGAGAUGUUGAGGCACAAGGUAGGAGACUGUGUAGUUUCCCAUUAGAAGUGGGGCUAAUUUGUCUGUCGGGGAAAAGUGCUGGAUUAUGCUUUUCACUUUUAGGAGCAAGAGUGAAAGUCAGAUUCACAGGACAAGAUGGAGAAGACAUUUAUUGUGAAGCAGGGAUAGGCAGAGGGGACAGACAGCUUGGGCUGAGCAAGGCAGGGGUGGUGGGGGGGCUGCUCUCAGUCUUUUGACAAAAGCAAGGACAAAAAACAACGUACACAGGGCUGUGUGGUAGAGGUAACAGGGUAGCACAGGAAGACAGUUCCAGGAACGUGUGGCUGGUUUAUGCUUCCUGCAGCUGCUUAGGGAUAGUCCUCACUGGUGCACUUCAGGCUCUCACUCAGCGCCUCACCAAAACUGGGGCAGUGGCUGUACUCGCCAAGUCACAGUGCCUAGGAAUUUUCCUUAGGACAAGGCAGCUGGUCACCACUCUGUCCAGUAACCUGCAGCCCAAAGACCCCUGAAAGGAGAGGCAAGGGCCUUCCCAGUUGCUGCAGAGCCAGGAGGAGUAAAGGCCUCCAGGGAUGGGGCUGUCCCUAAAGCUGCUGCCCUAUGCUGCAGUUUCACAGCUCCUCCUGGGGAGCAAGCAAUUCAUAUGCCACUGAAAAGGCUCUGUCUUCACCCCUGUGAGCCCUCUGGCAAAGCAGAAUAUGGUGCUGUUGGCUGCAUGGGCUCAGACUGGAGCUGAACUGUAUGGCAGAGCAGAUAGCUUAGAGCUGCUUUGGGACCUGCCAGCUAAAGAGCAGGAGUUGUUAAUGAACUGGCUGCAGCAUUCGGCCUCUUGCUCUGUUUUUACGUUUUUAGCUGUCUUAUCCAAGUCAGAUGUGCUACAGGGAGAUACACUUGCAUAUAUAGCCCAGCUUGCCUGCAGUGAAGCAAACCCUUUGGGCUUCAGCUCCACGCUUUGCUGGAGCCUGCCUUAUAGAUGAGAUUAAACCUCCUGAGCCAAAUAUUCCAAAAUUUGUCAGGCAAAGCUCACAGCAGUUUCAGCUGCAGGGUUGGGAGCAUGAGAAGAUCCUAAAUGGAUCAGAAUGGCAGCCUGUGGAAGUCUGCCACAAGCAAACUCUCAUUUGAAUUUGAUUUGGUCAUAACAAAGAAUUCUAGCUCCUAGGAGAAGCAUGUCCCAAGGUUUACUGGUGGCCAGGAUCAGCAGACCCCAUUCACCGCAGAUCUGUGAGGAUUCUUGCUUCCAAUCCACACUGCCAUUUGGGUUUAACUAAGCAGAAAACAGUGAUGGCCUUGAUUCCAGCUCAAAUCUUGAAUAAUAACUGCAUGUCCUGAAAUUGCAGCAAUCUGCAUCUUAGGACGUUGCCACUCAGCAUGUGAAAAACACACAGCCACAUGUUUACACGUUAUUAGGCUUAGAGUCAAACCUAUGCAAUAUUUUUACUUUUCAUUUAUUUUCAUCACAAGUUGCAGCGCUGUCUGACAGCCAUGUAAAAAUCCCUGAGAGAUGGUAUGUGGCUUGGGAGGGGGGGGGGGGGGGGGGGGGGGGGAAGGGGGGGUGGGGGGGGGGGGGGGGGGGGGGGGGGGCUGGAAACAAAGCAUUUUGUGACUUCAGUAAGGGACUUACUGGAGAAUGCAGGAAGAAAAACUCUUUCUGUUUUUCCCCCCGAGUAUGCACUUGAUUGCUCAGUCUGUUUUAUGACACCAAGCCUUUAGUUGGAAAUACCCAUUUCAGCCUGAAACCAGAAGCUCUGACAAUGAAAAAUCCAUUCAAAUGAGAUACUAUCAUUACAGGGUGGGGUAGAAAGCUCUGUUCCCAUCUGCUGAUAGAAUUAUCUCCACUGUGUGACCCUCCUCUUAUCUGUUGCUGACAGCAACGUUUUUUGUGGCUGUUUUCCCCCUCAGAAAGCCGCAAUGGGGGAUUAUUUUAAGCUGCAAUAGCAGAAGCAAUGCUGUGGGUUUUUUCUCUCUCCUCACCCCCCCACCCCCUUUUUUUUUCCUCCUCUCAAGGCCAGAUCUCCCACUGGUAGAAAUCAGCAUUGAAGUUGAGGCAAGUCUGGUAACUGAUACCUGCAGAAAAGCCUGCUCUGUCUUUGUGCAGCUCAGCCUCUCCAACACACUUUGCUAUGUCUGGGAGGUAUUAUGGGGGGACAGGUUUAUUUUUCUUUUACCUCUGUGCUACCAGUAGUUAGCAUGUGGUAUCUAACUCUUUACUGAAAGCAUUUUCAGGCAAAGAGAGCUCAUCCUGGUGUUAUUAAGACCAACAACAGCUAUGUGAACCCUUCAGAACAUUUUUUUCGUUUGCCAUGGUACUGCAGAGUUUGAUUUGAAAGGAGAGAAAUUUGACCAACCACGCAUCAGUUGGAAUCAUGGUUAAACCAGUAAGUCUUUUGCUAGAAUGAUCUUAAAUCAGCUUAUUAGCACUGACAUGAAUUUUCAAAUACUCAUGAAAUGCACACACUUCGUCUAUCCAUUGCAACAUGUUGCUUUUAUCCACCGUGGUUGAAAUCUAUUCCGAAUUAAGAGCCAGAACAAAGGGCUAUUUGCUACCUACAUCAUACUAAAGGUGUAAUGUGGAGGGUAGGGGGAAUGUAAGAAUUGCAAAGCUUUUGUAGUAACCUCAUCUAGAAGUUGAUUUAAUCUUUAAAGUUGUAGCUGUUUCUUUACUGUUAAACCGUUUUUCAUUCUGCUGGUUUUGGAGCUUGUAUAAACAACACAUAUUUGUCAUUUUUUAUUUUGUAUUUUUACAUUAAAAAGAAAAAAAUCCCUUUUCUUAUUGAUGGGAUCCUAUGAUCAUCCUUUUAAAACAGAGCCCCAGAAGUCGGAUAGAAAAGAUUUAAUAAAUUGCUCUCUGUGGAAUGCUGUUAGCA
rnacentral:lncRNA from 1 species